AAAGAUUUGUCGUCUGCACGGACUGAAUUUUGACAUAGACAUUCCACAAUUGGAAAUAAUGAAAAUAGGUCAAGCGUGGUCACCCAUCAUAAAAACUAUCAGAGUGCAAAAUGAAACCCUGGUCAGCUGCUUCAUCUACGUUAGAGAGAACAGCUCCUUUGUUUUGAAAGAAAAUGGAUGCGGGCAAAAGAACCAAUUUAUUUGCACUCUGCCUGAAAUCUGCCAUUCUACGUUCUGCAAAGAAAACCAAGCUAAAAUGAGAG